GUUCGGCAGAGGCCGCUCGGCAGGGGCAGGAGGCCCAGCGCCACGAAGGGGGCGGAACCAACCGAGCGGCGGCUGCUCCCCGCGGGCCCCGCUCUCGCUUCUCCUUCGCCGGGAAACGCGGCCCGGCCGCCCCGCGGCUCCCCUCUUCCUGCUCCUCGGCAGAGGCCGGCGGGCACCGAGCGCGGCCCCGAAACGCGCCGGCCCCCCUCAGCCGCAGAGCGAAGCAGAACGGACGAGCGAACGAGCGAGCGAGCAGGAAUUAGAGGAAACCAAAGUGAACAGGUAUUCAUUAGAUCUGAGAAUAAAAUUUCCUCUGACAUAUCAGGUGGAGCAGGAAAGGAAAGACAUAGUUCAUAACUCUGCCUCUAUGACACCAACAAGCAGAGCUUCGUCUUCCAGAAGGCAUCUUGGUGCAGUCAACAAGUACCAGCUGUGUCACCGCGGUCUCUGCAUGAGCAAACAAUUACAGGACAGAGCCACACCUGGAUUUGUGCCUGCAAGUGAGGAUUUUCCACUACAGAGAUCAGAUUUUUGAUAACUUGAUGGAUUAUUAAAAAUUACUUCACUGGAGAAGGGAAGGCUGAGAGAAGACUUCAUUGCAACCUCCCAGUAUUUAAAAGCUGUUGGAAGUGAUGGUGGGGCUGCUGCGCAGCAGCUCAUGGCAUAUGAACAUGGCAAAGACUUGGGUACCAGACCAGCCAACUGUCCAGGUCUCUGGGCACAUCUGCAGAGGUGUGGUGGGUCUGAGGCCAAGCAGGAAGCAAGAUCAGUGGAUCGGGAUCAUGCCUGAUAGCAGCUAAGGACAGCCACCAUCUGCUGGUCUUACCAGGAAAUCAUGAUCUGAAUGGAUGAGCAGCCAGAGCAGUGAAGAACUGUUUGGAUGACUAGUUUGAG
rnacentral:lncRNA from 1 species